AAAGAAAGGCUUCUGUUGUGCUGUCGUUCCUCUGUUUCUGUGUCUUCAGACGCAAGUACUGCUUCUUUACACAGAUUCUCUUUACUUUUCUGCGGGGUUUCCUUUUGCAUGUAGUCCUGGGUAUCCUGUAACUCCCCCAAAAGCCAGUGCUUUAGGAGCAGAGGAGAGGUUAGGCAGCAUUUUACCAAGCAAAAACCCUCAUGACUCAAAGCUUUGUAUAGACAGGUAAUUGUCAAAUGUAGCAAAUUGGCUGUAAAUUAACAACACGGGAGGAAACAAUGUAGCCAUGUGCUUAGGUUGAUACUUCACUUCAUACCCAAGUGCUCUUUGAAGCUGGAACUUCACACGGCAGGAAAAAAAAAGCUUUACAGAUUGGUUUAUUCCAGAGAGUAUGUGCUGUGUUUUGGCACAAGAUGUGUUUAGGGGGUGUGUACAUGAAGCUUUUGAAAGAACUUUCUUGACAUUUUGAAGUGACAGCCGCAUGCAGCUAAUGCUGUCUGGUUUGAGUUGCAGCUAAAUAAACGGUUGUUUCAGAUAGAGUGUAUGUUUUAGCAUAGUGUUACUCGAUACUCACUAGAGUAAUCUUUUCAAACUGAAUAAUCUUACAAUUCUGGAGGACAGCAAUAUAUCAUAUUAGGUAGCUUGCAAUUCAAGAUUAAAAGAAAAAAGUUCUGUAAAAAGGAAUGAAUUUACAAAAGCCGCACUGAAUGCGUAUAAGUAUAUGCACAUGAGAAUUUUAUUGUCCAUACCAGAAAACUGUAUGUAUCAGGUUACUGUACCAUAUAUUUUUCUCAUUCUUGGACUGCUCCUUGCAUGAAAUGCCUCAUUCUGCUCUCCUCUGUAGUUGUUCCUUUCUUACUCACUAACGGGAGUUGCUCUCUUCUGACAAAAAGUGCUUAUCCAUAUUAUAUGUCUUUUUAAAUGUGUCCAUUUAGAUUAAUGUUUAACAGAGCAAAGAUGUGUAUAUGAUAUGAUGUAUCUGCUUAUGACUAAUCGUUAUUUGAUGUGAUCUAGCCUUUUUGUACUUAAUUUUUUGGUACCUUUUAUCCAGCAGGUAUUUUUUAGAUGACACUGUAAGAGUUGAUUUACCCUUGAAAGUAGACUAUUUCUUCCGGAGUACUUCUGGGUUUAUCAGUUAGAAGUAUCCUUUUACCAGCACAACUAAUGGUGCACUUACAGUGUGGAAGGAUGUCUCAUCCCAAACUAGAUAUCCCCAUUCCUAUACCAGUAUAAGGUAUAGUUACACUAGUCCGUUUGCACCUGCUUGUACAAUAUAUUUUUUAAAGGCUUUGGGGUGGUUACCUUAACCUACUGGGAUUUUUUUUCCAGCUGACUUCAUUUAUCUAGAAGUUAGGUGUCCAGUCGGAGCUGCUUGUCUUGGCUCCCUCUCAGUCAAUGGUCCUGACACUGCAAUGUGUCCUCUCCUAGCGAUCCUGUCCCUCUGUUAACUCCACCUUUGACUGGAUACCCACCUCUCUACAACUACCUGAAAGGAGGUUGUAGUGAGGUGGGGGUCAGUCUCUUGUCCCAAGUAACAAGCGAUAGGACAAGAGGACACAGCCUCAGGUUACACUAGCUGACGUUUGGUGGAAGAACUCUGCCACCCCAUCAGCAGGAGCUGAUCUCUGAACAUUCUCUGGUGCCUUGGAAAUUUCUUUCCCUGGGUCUGAAAGGUUUUUAUGGGUGGUGAGAUGUUCCAGUGCUUGGAUCAAUGUGUUUCAUUUAAUGUUGGGAAGGAGGGGAUUUUUUUGUUGUUGUUUGGUUGGGUUUUUAAGUCAGCAUAGCAGAUCCAGAUAACGUGUAUCUACGUAUAUAAACACGUUCAACACUGUAUGUGCGCAAAGCAAAUGUAACUGUCCCAGGGCAGAAAAAGACUGGGAUGAGCUGCCACAGAGGGGGAAAGGGGAAGCUUUGGCUGAGGAGUUGUUCAAACUGGAUUGAUAUCAGAAGUGCAGUGAAAACCAUGAUACACAUGUGGACCAAAUGCAGCUUCUUUUAGCAAAGAAGCCGACUUCCACAAAAGAAACUGGGAUGUCGGGGAUUUACUUCACCAGCAGUGCUGUGUCAGCUGGAGCUCACCUUAGCCCGAGGUUUAGCAAGAUUUCUGCUAUGGUGUGAACGACACGGAAGAGGAAAAUCUCUCUCCCGUGCUUAGAAGGCGAGGCUGAAGCAGCAUCUGCUGGAACGGCGUGAUCUCACAACGCUAAAGGUUGCGAAUCCUCAGGUGAGGUCCCAAACUCUACGCAGCACAGUGGGGAGCUUUGCUGCUGGCUUUGGUAUCGCUGGGAUUUCACCCCUCGGCCAGAGAACUGAAGCAUGCUUUUAAUUUCCUCCUGUGCUCAGGUCUGUCCCUGUUCAGCAGAGCGCUAAAUCCUCUGCCUGAGCGCUCGCAGUCCUCUGCCAGGACAAUGUGAAAGUUGUCAUGAGCUGUGUUUCGGGGAUUGCAUGAGCCAGGUUAGGGGAAUAAAUAUAAAAAUUAAAAAAAAAAAUUUAUGUACGUAUGUAAAUAUAAAAGCAUCCUGGGAUUUCUGGACUGAGAUCAGAUGUGAUGCACUUUGGGUGAUGACAUCCUGCCAGUAACCCAGUGGACAAACCUGUGUAACGAUGCUUUUCCUUCACUGCAGACCUGCUGUCUGUCCCCUGCAACGGGAUUCCUUUAUAAAAGCCUGUUAAAAAUAACUCUGCUCUCCAGGAUAUUUAAUUUGCUCUGUUUUUGGUUAGCCACUGCUGAACCUUAUAAAGGAGAGAGGUUUUUAACUUGCAGCCUGGUGUGUAUCCAGAGUUCAGAAAUCUCCGCAGAAGAUUAAGCAAGUUAGAGAAAUUAGCUUUGAUCCCUUUCUGCCAGCAUAGGAUUAUUCCGCAUCAUACUGGUUUUGAAGUUCAUGUCUAAUCCAGUUUUACACGUCUCAGGGGACUGGGGUUCUUACGACUUCUUCUGCGAAACGGUUGUGUGGUGUAGCCUCUGAUUUAGAGGUACUUACUUGAUGCCGAGAUUCAAUUUGCAUUUCCAUUACUGCAUCCCAUUUCAUCCUGUGCCGUAUACAUAAUGUCGCUACUUUGUGGUAUAUGGCUUUCAAAGGCAUAUGGAUCAUUAUCGUGCUCAUGCUAUUUUAUAUGCUCACUACACACUUAGUCGAACUAUAUGUAUUUGAACCCCAUUCUUGCAAACAACUGUGCGUGACUUGUGUGUAGGUGUUCGAACUGCCAAACAUAUUUACAUACAAAAGGGCUUGUAAUGCCCAGCAUGGAUCGUAGUGCAUGAAAACAACUGGUGCGAGAUGAUUAAAAGAGCCAUGUGUGCAGAAACAUUGCUAAUCAAGGCAAAGAGGAGGGUCAUGUUACUGUUUUCUGGCAAAGUGGAAGGUUUAAAUGGUCAGUCCUGAGGUUUUUUUAAAUGCACUGCGUUUCAUGCAUGAUGAGUUUGUAAAACCGUAAGUUUUCUUUCUAAUAAAUGUGUAUUUUCAGGCUUAAAAAA